rnacentral:misc_RNA from 1 species
AAGUAGUAGCGGUAUGGCCUAUGUGCUAUGCAUCAAUAUUUUUUAAUAUGUUUGGUUUUUAUAUUAGUUUAUUCUCGUCAUUAUUAACUUAUUCUAUGGUUGGAAGUACUUUCAUAAUGAGCGUUCAUCAGGUGCACAUGGGUCACAUGCAAUCUAUCAACUCUCAUAUUUAUUUAAUUCUUAAUCCUUGGAUUGCAUGUCAUGAUGUAUAUUUGUUUUGUAGUACUGUAUUGGUUUUCAGAAUACGGAUGUCA